UCGUAACAAGGUUUCCGUAGGUGAACCUGCGGAAGGAUCAUUACUGAGUGCGGGCUGCCUUCGGGCGCCCAACCUCCCACCCGUGACUACCUAACACUGUUGCUUCGGCGGGGAGCCCUCUCGGGGGCGCGCCGCCGGGGACUACUGAACUUCAUGCCUGAGAGUGAUGCAGUCUGAGUCUGAAUAUAAAAUCAGUCAAAACUUUCAACAAUGGAUCUCUUGGUUCCGGCAUCGAUGAAGAACGCAGCGAACUGCGAUAAGUAAUGUGAAUUGCAGAAUUCAGUGAAUCAUCGAGUCUUUGAACGCACAUUGCGCCCCCUGGCAUUCCGGGGGGCAUGCCUGUCCGAGCGUCAUUGCUGCCCAUCAAGCCCGGCUUGUGUGUUGGGUCGUCGUCCCCCCCGGGGGACGGGCCCGAAAGGCAGCGGCGGCACCGUGUCCGGUCCUCGAGCGUAUGGGGCUUUGUCACCCGCUCGAUUUAGGGCCGGCCGGGCGCCAGCCGACGUCCAACCAUUUUUCUUCAGGUUGACCUCGGAUCAGGUAGGGAUACCCGCUGAACUUAAGCAUAUCAAUAA
rnacentral:misc_RNA from 1 species